UGAGUAACACGUAUCCAACCUGCCGUCUACUCUUGGACAGCCUUCUGAAAGGAGGAUUAAUACAAGAUGGCAUCAUGAGUUCACAUGUUCACAUGAUUAAAGGUAUUCCGGUAGACGAUGGGGAUGCGUUCCAUUAGAUAGUAGGCGGGGUAACGGCCCACCUAGUCUUCGAUGGAUAGGGGUUCUGAGAGGAAGGUCCCCCACAUUGGAACUGAGACACGGUCCAA
rnacentral:rRNA from 1 species